AUUGAACGCUGGCGGCAUGCCUUACACAUGCAAGUCGAACGGUAACGGGCCUUCGGGUGCCGACGAGUGGGGAACGGGUGAGUAAUGCAUCGGAACGUACCUUUCAGUGGGGGAUAACGUAGCGAAAGUUACGCUAAUACCGCAUAUUCUGUGAGCAGGAAAGCAGGGGAUCGCAAGACCUUGCGCUGAUUGAGCGGCCGAUGUCAGAUUAGCUAGUUGGUGAGGUAAAGGCUCACCAAGGCGACGAUCUGUAGCGGGUCUGAGAGGAUGAUCCGCCACACUGGAACUGAGACACGGUCCAGACUCCUACGGGAGGCAGCAGUGGGGAAUUUUGGACAAUGGGGGCAACCCUGAUCCAGCCAUGCCGCGUGAGUGAAGAAGGCCUUC
rnacentral:rRNA from 1 species